rfam:Limnothrix sp. P13C2 contig_18, whole genome shotgun sequence.
AGGUAGAUGCACCCUGACGAUGUUCCCCCGGCCCCGGCUGGGGGAUUUUUGU